rnacentral:rRNA from 1 species
CAAUAGCGUAUAUUAAAGUUGUUGCGGUUAAAAAGCUCGUAGUUGGAUUUCUGCUGAGGACGAUCGGUCCGCCCUCUGGGUGAGUAUCUGGCUCGGCCUUGGCAUCUUCUUGGAGAACGUUACUGCACUUGACUGUGUGGUGCGGUAUCCAGGACUUUUACUUUGAGGAAAUUAGAGUGUUUCAAGCAGGCGCACGCCUUGAAUACAUUAGCAUGGAAUAAUAAGAUAGGACCUUGGUUCUAUUUUGUUGGUUUCUAGAGCUGAGGUAAUGAUUAAUAGGGAUAGUUGGGGGCAUUCGUAUUUAACUGUCAGAGGUGAAAUUCCUGGAUUUGUUAAAGACGGACUACUGCGAAAGCAUUUGCCAAGGAUGUUUUCAUUGA